GCCCUACAAACGUGAAUAUCUGUGACUGAGUGACUGAGUGAUGAAGUUACACCAUUGGUCGGCCGGAUCAUGUGUGUUAUGACAACCAAAUAAACAAGCGAGAACAGCAUUUUCUCCUCAGGCAGAGUGACAAACAGGGCAGAGGAUAGGAUUACAUUACUGGAGAACAAAAGAAAAGGUAGAUUGGGGUGGGCUUUAGCUGUGUGUGAUGCUUUGUGCUGAUUGACGACUGAUCAGUUGCAGGGCAAUAAACCUCCCCAAUCAAAUUGCUGCCGUGCCUGAGGGGGCAGGCCCAAAGCGUUGGCCAAGUACCUACCCUGAGACAGGGAAGAGAAUGGGCCUUCCAGAAACAGUCAAACUAGCUCAGCCUGGAUACAACAGCAAAAAGCCUGAGACUGUGCCCACCAACCCCCAGUCUGACUGGCCCUUCAGUCACCAAGUGAUCUGGAAUUUGUAUUGCAAAAGAAAAAUUAAUGCAAGCAUGAAUGCAUCAUUUGCUGCUGUAUGUUUGGCACUAAUUGCGCAUGUAAUUGUUUUGUUUAAAAUGUAAACUUUCUGCAUAGGGAGAAGCAUAGGUCUGUGCAUGGGAGAGUGGUGAGAUCCUUGGAGUUGCCAAUCCUGUUGGUGCCAAGAAGACUGUGACAUGUUUUUCCCUGGAAGGGGAAUUGCAAGUUGUUGCACCACUGUCUGAGGGACCAGUGACGACCUUGGAUCAACUGUAGCCCCUCCUCUGUAUGCUGCAUGGCAUCUCUCAGGUAGAGAGCUCUGCCAUGUCAAAGAGGCUAAGGAGAGAAAUUUCCAGCUGCCAUCUGUUCACAUCUGCGCUGAGUCUGCUGUACCUGGUCAUCAUGCCAACAGUGUGUGCAAACAGCCGGCCGCCGCGUAGCCUUGAGCUCUUUCAAUUGGUGGAUGACAUGCUGACAUACACCGAUGAGAAGUGCUCCAUUGAACAGAGCUCCAUUGAACAGUGCUCCAUUGAAGGAGGACUGUAUACACCAAAUAAAGCUGAUUAUGAGAACUGUCCCAAAUCCACACUCACAUGCUUUGCAGAAGAAGUGAAAGUGCUGUUGUAUCACAUUCCUGCUUUACAGAAGGAAAUAGAAAAAAUAGAAGGAGACCUAAACAGAAGACUGACGUCCAUUAACAAAAGGGAGGAUCACGGGAACUGUUCGCAGUGCGAGGUCAACAACAUGGAGUCCGUAGGGCUCAGUGGUUGUGAUGCAAUAUGGUUUUGACUUGGCUGAGUCACAUCUGUUCCCACAGGAGGAUCACGGGAACUGUUCGCAGUGCGAGGUCAACAAAAUGGAGUCCGCAGUGACGUUUCUGAAAACACUGAAGCACAUCCUGCAGACGAUCAAUGCGCGUAGCGGCGGGGGGUAGUCCUAAUGGGUGUGGCAAGGGAAGCACUUGCGGAUGAUUGCAGGAUGCUUGCAUUUGGAUUGCUCCCUAUCCCCUCACCCCACCCUGGCCCCCUGCUCUGGCCCCCCUUCCCUGUCCUUAAAAUGAAGAAAUAAGGAAAGGACCAGUGGAAGGGUCGCUCCAGUUCAUAGUCUGGAAUAUCCAAUAUCAGUGCUCAGGUCUGGACCUUCAGUAUCAAUUUGGGAAAGUGCAAACAAGAACAUGCUGUCCUCCCACACGUGACGCCAAACGACGGCUCUUACUGCACCGCGACUUGCAAGUCAUACAGAGAUAAGUUGGAGGAAGACACUUCCUGUGCAGCUGAGCAGUUGGACAUACAGAUGCCAAAUCACAGUGGCAGAUGCUUGAUGCAGAUCCCUGCUGAUCAAACUUGCCAGUGGUACCAUCAGUUAUGUGUUGCCCUGUUGGCACUGGUAUUGUUGGGAUUUGUUCCCACAGUGCAGGGCCUAUCCAUGCACUAUAUUGGUGCAGUAAGAAGAUGAGCCAUCCAGCAGUGGCAGCCGUUUUUGUUCUAGCUUGCCAAGUAAACUGCCAGUUUUGAUGUUUAGAAUAGUUGCGAUGUCACAUUUUUCUGGAUAUAUAUUUAAUAUUUAACUAUAUUUAAUGGCCACAGUAUUGCUUUAUUUUAUUGCUUACUUUAUGAGUGCUGUAACAUUCAUCCUCAUAAGUGGGACAGCUUUAAUAUAAUCUCUGACCUUUGUAAAAUGUGACCCGGAAGAAAGCAGCAUGUAUCUUUUUUAUUGUUUGUAUAGACUUUUAAUUCAUUAUUUUUGGCAUACGGGAAUUCAUUUUGCAUCACCACAGCUUGGGUGGUCUGAAGGCUGGAGACUUUUAAACACACUGACUGUGUGUUUAAACAGAUUUACUGUGGUCUGGAAAAGGGUAAAGGUUAAAGCUUGUCUGAAUCUAUAUUUCAGCCACUUCCUCUGGAUACUAGCAUACACUAACCUUCGUCCCUGAUGACCAGGACAUGCUUGCACAAAGAAGUUUUGAAAGGGGUGGGGGGUAUGUGAUACAGUAUGGCUUGCUUUGGACUGCUGCUGCUAAUAGUACUAGAAAUAAUAGCAAUCUGAAGCCCAGUUCAGCAAACUCUGAAAAGUUCCUGGGAAUCAGUCUCAAUCGCUUCAGCUCAGUAAAGGUCUUGGUGGCCUUUAAUUUCUACCUGGUUAUCUAUUUCCAAAAGACAAGAUGAUUUUGGGAGCAGAUAUGGUUAUGCUGUGUUUUUCUAUUUUCUGGAAGGUAUGUUCUGCCAUUCCUAUCGCCUUAGCACUUUUAAUUCUCCAACAGUGAGACUACCAUUAUAGACUGUGGUGUAGUUCUGUAGGUUUCAAUUUAUAUAUUGAUGUAUAUAUGUAGGCAUAUAUCAUUUAUAUAUCAGUUAUACUCAUAUGGCUCUUUAGCUGUUUUGUACAGAAAUCAAAUACAGUUGUCUCUUCAUUGGGAAUUGGGUCUUAAUUCAUUCACACUCCAGUAUGGGUUUUUCCAUAUUAUUACUAAUGUAAUAUGCCUCCUCCACCUACUCAACCUAGCUCUUAGUCCAGUCACUGGUCCCAUCUGGACUGCUGCAGCUUCCUUCUUGCUGGCCUCCCUGCCUUCGCCAUCAGACCUCUGCAGCUCAUCCAGAAUGCUGCUGCUUGUCUGAUCCAGGCUCAGCCAUGUCACUCCCCUUUUCAUCUCCCUCCACUGGCUACCUGUACAUUAUCAACUCACAUAAAGUUACAUAAACCGUGGCGCUAACCUGUUGAGCAGCUAAACCACACCUCUCAAUUCCACUACCUCUGGGCACCUGCACAUUCAGAUCACAGCUCCUGUCUGCAUAUCCCUUCAGACUAUGCCACACGUCUCUCCAUACUUUAUCAUUUUUAUUUUAAAAAGGCUUUCUGUUUGUAGCAGUCAAAACUUUAAAAAUCAAGGCAUACUCCUGUGUCUAGUUAAAAGUUUGGUGGUUCAAGAUAUUGAGUCACUCCUUGUGUGAACUGGCAGCUCUAAAUUUGAGAGCUUCUGUUCACAUCUGAUACAUUAAUCUAAAACAGUAUUUAUUCUUUAAAGAAGACCUGACUUGAUAUUUGUAUUGAAAUUGUGCAAUUAAAUUAUUGUAUUCUCUUUUC